GGAGUGUGUGCUGUGAAGGAAGGGAUUCACAGCACCUGAGAGUAAAUUCACAAAACAGGAGUUCUAGAGGCUUUUGGCACCACUACCAGCCUGGAGCAUGAAGAAGUGAUGUGAAGAUGGCAUUUCCUAGAAAAAGCGUGCUGGAGUGGCAGGAAGCUUCCUAAAUUUGUUAAAAAUAUGCAUGCUUUUAAGAAGACAGAGUAUCUGUCAGCUAAACAAGUGGAAGAGUUCUGCUUCAUUUUGAUGAGAUGCUCUGCAGUGACCAACUUGCCCUUUGGACAUUUAAGACAGCUGAGUGCCAGGACUGUCUCAAGGAAAAGUGGUAGCAAGAGAAGUAGUAAGUUGUGGCCAUGUGUUCAAAGACAAAGUCAUGUAAGCGCUCAUGCAUUUGUGACUCAAAUGAACAAGCAUGCUUCCACUCUCCGUUCCCCUCUCUAACUGAAAUCAUGUGCAUUAGAGUCUGUAUUUGUCUCAUUUGUCACAGGUGAUGAAAACUCAUUAAAUUUGGGUUGAAAUCCUGACCUCAUCACAAACUCUUUUCCUGUUAUGACCCUGGGUAUGUCUUGUAUUUUCACUUUUUCUAUCAUGAUCCUGACCUUUUCAAGACACACGUAUGUAAGGGUUUUGCAUACCUUGGCCCUGAUUUUAGUGUACAUACUUCGUACCUUCACCCCGAUUUUAGUGUGCAUAUUAAACUACACUGUCACAAAAAUAACAACCAUUUUCUGCUUUCUUUCCUGACCUAUUAACUUUCUAAUUUUUUUUCUUCUUAGACACAUAGAACAAAGAUUUAGCAGAAAACAACCACCUUUCAAACAACAGAAAUAGCUUAAUGCAUUCAACAAUCUGACCCGUUUCCCAAGCCAACAACUAAAAUAAAAUAAUUACAGUUAAACAUGAGUUUUGCUUAGAACAAACUCCCAUAGUAAAUGCCUUGUUUGUAACAGUAAGAAAAUAAUUUCCUGACCAGAAGAGGGCAUUUGACUUCAUGACUUGGGCUCGUGGCUGUGGGCUCAUCAUCUUGAAAUAAAAACAAAACCCCACCAAAACCUAUUCUACAUUACUAAAAAUUCUUACCAUUAGUGGUUACUUCUGUGCAGUACCAGAUGUUUAAACCUUUCACUCAAAGAUCCCCCUGAAGUCAAGAGGGGCUGAGAAUAUGACAGUGAAGAAAAGAGUCAUUGAUCGAUCCUUCUCUGAAUUAUCCACUUCCCACUUUCUAGCAUCAAGACAAGCAGAGCUUUACUCAACCAACAUUCAAGAAAAAGAGCCACCUGCAAAUGGACUUGUUUGUCCCAAGUUACAGGCAUUUACUCACUGGUCUGAACUGGCACAGUUAUUCCUCUUUAUUUUCUUUGUUGUUAGUUAAAACCUCUGAAAUGAUGAGCAUACAGGAGUUUUAUGUAAUCUUAGAUCUUAAAGUGGGAGAUAUUUACACCCUUGUAAAAGGUCCUUAUCAUCCUCAAUCACUACAGCAAUUAAUAACUAGGACAAGACCCCAGCUGUGUGAAUGUGGUUUUCCACAGUGUUGACAGUGAGUAGAGGAAAAAUACACUCACUGAAAAGUGUGUGCUUUUGGGAUCUUAAUUUAAAGUAAGGAGAAGUACCAGGCAGGGGAAAUACUCUCCUGUAGUUGAAGGGUGAACAGUGUGGAUAAAUUGCAGAGUUGGGCAA